rnacentral:rRNA from 1 species
GACGAACGCUGGCGGCGUGCCUAAUACAUGCAAGUCGAACGCAGUGGGGACGGGUGAGUAACACGUGGGUAAACUCCAAUCAGAGGGGAUAACAAGUGGAAACUGGUGCUAAACCGAUACUGAUGGAUGAACCACCGGGGCAUUAGCUAGUUGGUGAGGUAACGGCUCCCCAAGGCCACGAUGCAGAGCCGGGCGGAUAGGGUGAGCGGCCACACUGGGACUUAGACACGGCCCAGACUCCUACGGGAGGCAGCAGUAGGGAAUCUUCGACAAUGGUCGAAAGUCUGACCGAGCAACGCCGCGUGAAUGAAGAAGGUUUUCGGAUUGUAAAACUCUGUUGUUAGAGAAGCGGUAUCUAACCAGAAAGCCACGGCUAACUACGUGCCAGCAGCCGCGGUAAUUC